UGCAGAUUAACUGUUUGUGAGUGAUGCAAUAUUAGUCGAACACAACAUAUUUUCCGAUAUGAUAAAGCGAGAUCUGUCAAUACGUGUAUGAAAAGAUAGAUAAUCGAAAGAGAAUAACAAUGAACUGCGAAAUAAAGAACAUUGGACGGAAAGUCUGAGACACGAUUUGAUAUUGAGUAUUAGUACAAAACUAAAUAAUAGUAAAACGGAAUGGAGUGAAAGCUAUGGCUAAUUAUUGAACCGUAUAAUUUCAAAAUUAUUGUUUGCCACUCUUUUUUUUUUUUGAGACGAGAUGAUUAUACGAGUCUGAUAUGGCGCUAUAUGCGAUGCGUACAUUAUACUCCACAAUGUCUUAAACGUAUCACGGAGAUGAUUAAUGAAUAGGAACUGGCUGGCGGAUGAUUUUCAUAGCCUCGGGCCGCAGUACGAACCGGUAAGAACAAAACCAAAGUACAUGAGAUCUAAACGGAUAGUAUCAGAGGGAUAAGAUUUUUAUCUUUUCUUUUUAAACCUUAGCCUUCUUUAUUAACGGGUUGGUGAACACGAAACGCCACUUAAAAUAUAGACAGUAUAAUUCUACAGGAUGCUGCCGAAUGAGACACACGCCACCGUAUACAUUACCAUACUCAAUGAAACUACUAUUUCGAGUCCAUUAUUGUGCCACUAUAAUUCCACCUUAUGAUGAUUUUUCACAUGAUAUUUUUUGUCGAGCCUAAGGAAUACGAUCGAAUAGUAACUUAAUCAAAUCGUAAUAAACAUUCUGAAGGACAAAACCCAAAUUUUUCAUAAAAAUAACUAGUAUUUAUUGUUACUAUAAAUAUCUUCUACAAUAACAAAUCGUCAACGUUAACGAGAUCUGUUGGUAUGACUUUAAGAGAUAUUCAAACAUACAUUUUUUUAUUGAUUUCUGAUAGCGUUUAACGCAUUUCGUCUCAUUUCUGUAGUUCUAAAGAGAUGCACUUAACUAAUGGAGAUUAUCGUAUACCUCUUAAAAAUUAUAUUCAUUUUGACAAUAUUUGUCAAAAACACGAUGUCCAAGAUGUAAUAGUAAUAAAUUUUGCAAUACAUUGGUCUGUGUCGAGUGAGUCGCUCUCAAAUGAUACUUCUACGCGGUUCAAGUCAGAGACAACCAGUUAAGAUCCGAGAAGCGCAAGCAGGAGUAAAAAAUGUGUCGGCUAAUACACCAUUGACACAUUAAAAAGUGAAUAUCGAUUUCAUAUAGACAAAAACAUGUGCGUACACACAAUACGCGUAUGACGUACAUUUGCCGACCCAUAGGGUCACCAGACGGAUGUACCGGAUAGUGGUACGCGCCGGUUGUACGGGUCAUGAGUGUGCUGUUUUUACAUUGCAGUUCGACCUUGCCGACCAAGUGCUAAAUCGAACACCGAUUUGUUAAAAAACCAAAACGGUUAUUAAUAAAACUCGUAGCCGAAUGUGUACAAGUAAAACGGCUCGGUCACUGUGAAUCGUUGUUUUUUGCGUGUAGCUCCGUGCCGACUGCCGCCAAUGUUUGUUUAAAACGUUCGACGACGACAACAACAAGGAAAAAUAUGCGCUACCUAUUUUUCGUUGGAAAAUAUAGCGAAUAAUUUUGUUUUUUAAUGUCCUCCGUUUGGCACCAUCGCCCAGGAACUCGGUGGCCGCACGCGCACUUUACGGUCGUGUCCGCCUGUUCAACACACAACGAUGUUUGUAAAUUCGUUGCUAUCAUCAAAAUAAUAUUGACGCGCGUGUGAGCACGUGCGUUUCAAAACGUCUAAGCUGAUCGAACGCGGUUAGGGAAAAUAAAUGAAAUACAUAAUGCCGACAGCACUCGGUAGACGUGUGAUCGACAUUAUUAUGUUAAUACGUUGCGCGUCGUUUCAAAGUACAACGAAAAAAUAAAUUAAAAAACACGUUACGGCUUGCGACGGACGGCGGCGGGUGCCGGUGAAUAUUGUUGUGUGCCGAUAACCCAAUCACAAAUUACAGACUAGACGUACACUUUUCAAAGGCCAACG